GCCAGGCAUGGUGGCACGUGCCUGUAGUCCCAGCUACUCGGGAGGCUGAGACAGGAGAAUCGGUUGAACCCGGGAGGCGGAGCUUGCAGUGAGCCGAGAUCGCACCACUGCACUCCAGCCUGGGCGACAGAGCGAGACUCCAUUUCUUUUUUCUCUCUCUUUUUUUUUUUUUUGGAGACGGAGUCUCGCUCUGUCGCCCAGGCUGGAGUGCAGUGGCUGGAUCUCAGCUCACUGCAAGCUCCGCCUCCCGGGUUCAACCGAUUCUCCUGCCUCAG
rnacentral:SRP_RNA from 1 species